rnacentral:lncRNA from 10 species
GUACCAUGGGUGCAAAGGGGAGCAGCAUAGUAGAGACGGGGUUCCACCGUGUUAGCCAGGAUGGUCUCGAUUUCCUGACCUCGUCAUCCUCCCGCCUUGGCCUCCCAAAGUGCUGGGAUUACAGGCUUGAGCCACCGCGCCCCGCUCUUUCGUGUUCCAAAGGCUUUUUAAAUAAACUUCCACUCCUGUCCUGGAUUCUGCUUUAUGGCCCUCAGUCGAAUUCUUUCUUCUGAGGAGGCAAGGACUGAAGUUGCUUCUGACCAGUACAGGAGAAAACGAAUACAGCAGGGAUGACUUCCACCAGCUCCACUUUGCAGCUCUGAGGUGUAUUAAAAAUGACCUGGAAGAAGUCAUGCCACGGGCCAGACCUUAACAUUCCUUUCGGCUUACCCCAGGAUUUCAGACAAAGCUUCACUUUCCUAACCAGUCACAAAUCAGAGAAUUUUUGAUUCCACCUAUGACCUGUGAGCUCCUGCUUCAAGAUAUUCCACCUUUUUUAGGCCAAACCAAUGUAUAACCUCCAAGUGUCGAUUUACACUUUCGACUGUAACUUCUGCUUUCCUGAGAUUUACCCCUGCCUUUAAAAACCCUUGCUUGUAAUCCCUCAGGGAGGCCGUGUAUUUAUUAAUCAUGAGCUGCCCAAUUCUCCUUGCUUGGUGCCCUGCAAAUAAACACCCUCUUUUCUCCCACUGCAAAACCUCAGUGUGGAUGUUUGGCUUUACUUCACCCCCAGGAAAGCAGACCCAGGUUUGACUCAGCAACAACAUCUGUUUCUAUUUUUCUCUGUAUAAAUAUUAAAAACCAUAAGUACAUGCUAUCUCCAAUUCCAAUAUAAACCCAUA